rnacentral:sRNA from 1 species
UGUUACACAAUUAUAGUGGCAUCCUUUUGCUUUUUCGGCAAAAGAUAUAACGGAAAGCCCGACCACGC